rnacentral:rRNA from 1 species
AUGAUGAUGAAGGUUAGCCCAAGGGUCAGCAUUCACGUUUGCUUGUGCAACACUAGACAUGGGAAGGAGUGCCCCCAUUACAAUAAUAGAGGGGACAGCGCCACAGCCGAUUCACCAGAGAAAAUGAAGCCGGAGCAGGUCACCCACAACAAGAUGACGACGGCGACGUCCUCGCCGUCCCCUGUCGCCGGCCUGCGGGGCGUGGUGAGCUCCCUCGUCGCCUUCUUCAUCGUCGUCAGCAUCGUCUCCCUGCUGUUCGACCACGGCCACGAGUCGCAGGUGCAGCUGGCAGUGCAGCACCAGCACCAGGAGGUGAAGAUGGCCGCGGCUGGGUGCCACGAGGCGCAGGUGCAGUGGACGGACGAGCUCAUGGGCAAGGCCGUGAGGGGCUCCGGCAAGGAGUGCAACUGGUCCGUGGGGCGGUGGGUGUAUGACAACGCCUCCCAGCCGCUCUACUCUGGCCUCAACUGCUCCUUCAUCUUCGACGAGGUCGCCUGUGAGAAGUAUGGCCGGAAUGACACCAGGUACCAGUAUUGGAGAUGGCAGCCCGAUGGAUGUGAUCUUCCAAGGUAUGUCUGGCUUUGUUACAUCCACCACCAGCUCGGUUUUGCUCAUUCAUGCCAACAACCAAAAAAAUGA